UACGUAGGGCGCAAGCGUUGUCCGGAAUUAUUGGGCGUAAAGAGCUCGUAGGCGGUCUGUUACGUCCGCUGUGAAAACCCAGGGCUUAACCCUGGGCUUGCAGUGGAUACGGGUAGACUAGAGGCAGGUAGGGGAGAAUGGAAUUCCCGGUGUAGCGGUGAAAUGCGCAGAUAUCAGGAAGAACACCCGUGGCGAAGGCGGCUCUCUGGUACGUGACUGACGCUGAGACGCGAAAGCGUGGGGAGCAAACAGG
rnacentral:rRNA from 1 species